AAUAUGUAUGAUGAAUUGUUGACCUUAGGCAGGUGGUUCAGACCGUGUUGGUCGACUCUUUUGCUGCCUGCCAAUGUUAGGCUUGUCAUAGUUACACUGACUUGUU